UCCGCGGGAGCCGACCUUGAAAUACCACCCUGGUUUGUUGGCGGGUCUAACCUUGGUCCGUUAUCCGGAUCGGGGACAGGGCAUGGUGGGCAGUUUGACUGGGGCGGUCUCCUCCCAAAGUGUAACGGAGGAGCGCGAAGGUACGCUAGGUACGGUCGGAAAUCGUGCUGAUAGUGCAAUGGCAUAAGCGUGCUUGACUGUGCGACUGACAAGUCGAACAGGUGCGAAAGCAGGACAUAGU
rnacentral:rRNA from 1 species